GAUGAACGCUAGCGGCAGGCUUAAUACAUGCAAGUCGAGGAGCAGCAUGAAUGUAGCAAUACAUUUGAUGGCGACCGGCAAACGGGUGCGGAACACGUACACAACCUUCCUAUAAGUGGGGAAUAGCCCAGAGAAAUUUGGAUUAAUACCCCGUAACAUAAUGACGUGGCAUCACAUUAUUAUUAUAGCUACGGCGCUUAUUGAUGGGUGUGCGGCUGAUUAGAUAGUUGGCGGGGUAACGGCCCACCAAGUCUACGAUCAGUAGCUGAUGUGAGAGCAUGAUCAGCCACACGGGCACUGAGACACGGGCCCGACUCCUACGGGAGGCAGCAGUAAGGAAUAUUGGUCAAUGGACGCAAGUCUGAACCAGCCAUGCCGCGUGAAGGAUUAAGGUCCUCUGGAUUGUAAACUUCUUUUAUCUGGGACGAAAAAAGGCGAUUCUUCGUCACUUGACGGUACCAGAUGAAUAAGCACCGGCUAACUCCGUGCCAGCCGCCGCGGUAAAAC
rnacentral:rRNA from 1 species